UAUGGCCACAUCAUGUCAAAACACUUAUUUCUGUAUGAUCACUGUAGUUAAGUAAUGUUGAGCCUGGUCAGUCCCUAGAUGGGUGAUCGCUUGGGAAUAGCAGGUGCUGUAAG